rnacentral:rRNA from 1 species
UUGCUCUUCAACGAGGAAUGCCUAGUAAGCGCAUGUCAUCAGCAUGCGUUGAUUACGUCCCUGCCCUUUGUACACACCGCCCGUCGCUACAACCGAUUGAAUGGCUUAGUGAGGCCUUCGGACUGGGCCAAGGAGGUUGGAAACGACCACCCAGGCUCGGAAAGUUCGUCAAACUUGGUCAUUUAGAGGAUGUAAAAGUCGUAACAAGGUUUCCGUAGGUGAACCUGCGGAAGGAUCAUUAAAGAGUUAGGGUCCCAGUGGCCCAACCUCCAACCCUCUGUUGUUAUAACUAUCUUGUUGCUUUGGCGGGACCGUUCGGUCUCCGAGCGCGUCAACCCCCGGGUCGACGAGCGCCCGCCAGAGUCCAACCAAACUCUUGUAUUAAACCAGUCGUCUGAGUACAAAAUUUUAAUUAAAUUAAAACUUUCAACAACGGAUCUCUUGGUUCUCGCAUCGAUGAAGAACGCAGCGAAAUGCGAUAAGUAAUGUGAAUUGCGGAAUUCAGUGAAUCAUCGAAUCUUUGAACGCACAUUGCGCCCCUUGGUAUUCCGAGGGGCAUGCCUGUUCGAGCGUCAUUACACCACUCAAGCACCGCUUGGUAUUGGGCAUCGUCCGUCGAAAGGCGGGCGUGCCUCGAAGACCUCGGCGGGGUUUCUCCAACUUCGGGCGUAGUAGAGUUAAAUCAAAACGUCUUAUAAGCUUGGUGAGAUCUCAUUGCCGUUAAACCUUUUUAUUUUCAGGUUGACCUCGGAUCAGGUAGGGAUACCCGCUGAACUUAAGCAUAUCAAUAAGCGGAGGA